AUUGUGACAGCUAGAAUGGGUGGUGGAUGUCUCUCCCUCCUCCUUAGCUUGGCCAGGACAAUCUUAUCACGUUCAGAAAAGUCGAGGGUUUUAAAUACACAUCACGUUGUCCUUGUCAUAAACAGUUGAUUAAUAAAGUUCAGGAUGGAUUAUUCGAAGUUCAUAUCAAAGAUGUCUUCAAAUCGAAAGCCAUCUGGAAUCAGCGAAAUGCGGAAGUACCUGGCCGAGCCCUCUCCCUCGCUGGUGUGGCUGGCUUCGGGAAUGCCCAACCCCAGCUGUUCCCCUUUCGCGAGGCCACCGUCAGGCUCAGCGACGGCUCUGUCCUCGAACUCGGCGGGGACCUCAUGGCGACCGGGCUGCAGUACGGACCGACGCCGGG